GUAUCAAUACCCAACUUUUCCAUAAGUGGGGUCCAAACGGACCCCAAGCAUUUUAUAUGGAGUUUCGGUUGAUAUCCCUAGGAACUUUUUAUUUUUGUCACCUCUGGUUGUCAGGAAUACAUUUGUUGCCGAUCAACACAUCUACUGCUUACAUUCUCACCACCCUGAAGAGCAUUUUUACUCAGCAACACACAUCUUACUGUGCUAACAGUUAAGUACGGCUUCCAAACUGCAACCUCAAUGAUGAGAAAACCUUGAAGAAAUUGGGAAGAGGGACAUUUGAUGUCAGAGUGGAGAAGAACCACAACAUUUGUGCUGUGACAUGGUACGACACCCGUCAGGUGACACUUGUGUCAUCCUUUACUGGCCCAGAACCAGUGGAAAAGGUUAAACGUUGGGACAAAACUGCCAAAACAUUUGUGGAAGUUCAGAGGCCUAACAUUGUGGCGACCUACAACAAAAACAUGGGGGGAGUGGAUUUGCUGGACUCAUUUGCGGCCAAGUACAAGUUUCCUCUCAAGUCCCAUCGUUGGUACAUCUACAUCUUCUGGCACACAAUUAUUCUAGCUGUGAUCAACGCUUGGCUCCUGUACAAAUGGGACUGCAAGGCCUGGGCUAUUCCAAAGAAAGAGAUCCUGAUCAGGAGACGGUUUCAGGCCCAGUUGGCAUCCUCCCUUAUCCUGACUGGCACAUCUGUCCCAGUGCCAAAGCGAAGGCGGCCAUCCUCAAGCCCUAUGAGUUCUCCAGCUGCUAGGCCCUCUAAGAAGAGAAAUGCACACCCACCAAGUGAUGUCUGCAAAGACAUAACUGGGCAUUUCCCCCAUCAAAGCUGACGGGGGAAGGUGCAGACAGUGUGCUAAAGGCUACACUAACACUGUUUGUAUGAAGUGUGAUGUCCGCCUUUGUUUUUCAGAACAAAGAAACUGCUUUUUGGACUACCAUAGGUAAAGAAGGGAGAUGUAAAAAUGCAUCUUAAGUUUGUUUUCAGAUUUGUACAUACAGCAUUCAUCCAGUGUUUUUAAAGAGUGGAAAUUACUUUUUUUGAAUAAAUUACUUGUCAUAAAACAAUAUAA